GCCCCCGGCAGGGGCCGGACGGGGCGGGGGCGGCCGGGGGCCGCUCUUUGUGCGCGGCGGGGCCGCUCCGGUCCGUUCUGCAUCGCUCCGCACCCGCCAUGGCCCCCCCGCGCCGGGCGCACGGCUGCGGCAGCGGCGCGUUGCUGGGGCGCUUCGGCGUGUUGCUGCAGUCGCUGCUGGCCCUGUGCGCCUUCAGCACCCUCAUGCUGAAACGAUUUAAGGAACCAAAGGAAGAGAGGCGUCCCUGGAGGAUAUGGUUUUAUGAUACCUCCAAGCAAGCAAUAGGUGCACUCUUCAUCCACUUUGCCAAUGUUUUUCUGUCGGAUCUCACUGAAGAGGACCCUUGCUCUCUCUACCUUAUUAAUUUCAUCCUCGAUGCCACACUGGGGAUGCUGCUGAUCUGGCUUGGCGUGAAAGUUGCCUCCUGGAUUGUGCAGCGUAAGAAGUACACGUACCUGGUCUUUGGAGAAUAUGGUGACCCUCCACAAGCUGCUGCCUGGAUUGGCCAGUGCAUCCUCUACUUGCUGAUAAUGGUUUUUGAGAAGACUGUCAUCAGCCUUGUCCUGCUUAUCCCUGGUUGGACAAAGCUUCAGCAGAUCCUCCUGGGUUACAUCCCAAACCCCCAGCUGGAGCUCGUCCUGGUCAUGCUUGUUGUGCCUUUUAUAGUCAAUGCCAUUAUGUUCUGGGUUGUGGACAGCUUGAUCAUGAGGAAAUACAAGCAGAAGGACACCCUAGCCAUCAAUGGAUCCAUAGAAACUCCUCGAGCUAGGAGGACUGAGGAAUCUCAGAUGAUGUGGCUGGAGGAUGCCCCACGCGUGGCUCCAUCUGCAUCGUGCAAACGCUCCAGGCCGGUGGCAGCCUGUUAGCUCAAAACAGCCUGUUGGUAGCUUCAAGUCUGGAGUUAGCUGCCGAGAGCGUGUUACUCUCUCCAGACAUGGAUUUUGAUCAGUCGGAAAGCGACCAGGAUAUUUCAGGACUCCAGGGAAUGAGCCAGAAGAUGAAGCAACCAAGCUAUCAAGUGGUCAUCUGACAACACUGAGACAAGGGAUGUGGAGGAAGGCAAAUAGCACUGUGACCCUUGAUCUGGCUGAGGGAGGGCAGCGUGGGGAAUGCCAGUUGAUCCCUAUAGAUCUGCAGAGGUCCUUUUGCCUGCUGCAUCUAGACCUAUCCUUCUGCAGCUGUCUCUUUGGAUGGUAUCUGUACACCCUGUACAGGCUUGAGCAGUAUCUGCUUUGCCUGUCUGACCCUAACCUGUACACAUGCAGGCACGUUGAGGUUAGGGAUACGGAUAUGUACUUCCUCUGGCUGGCCAGCUGGGUGUAACUUUUUUGUCAGGGCUAGAGACUGAAAUCAAAAGAUUGUCUGCUUUUUUUUUUUUAAUGGAAAAGAAAAAUAUCUAUCCUGUACUACCUGAACUGUGACACUUUUAUAUGCACAAUACUCUAAUUGGUUUGCAAUAAGUAUUUAAAUAUCUUGGAUUGGGAAGAUUGUCUCGGUGGAUCUGAUCCUUUUUACUGUUUUAUAAGGAAUGCAAUAAAUACUUGAUCUAAACCUG